GAAAACGUAGUUUAUACAAAACCUUGCUUUGAUAGGGCAAAGAAACAACAUAUGUUGUCAUUUUUA
rnacentral:tRNA from 1 species